rnacentral:rRNA from 1 species
GAUGAACGCUGGCGGCGUGCCUAAUACAUGCAAGUCGAGCGAAUGGAUUAAGAGCUUGCUCUUAUGAAGUUAGCGGCGGACGGGUGAGUAACACGUGGGUAACCUGCCCAUAAGACUGGGAUAACUCCGGGAAACCGGGGCUAAUACCGGAUAACAUUUUGAACCGCAUGGUUCGAAAUUGAAAGGCGGCUUCGGCUGUCACUUAUGAUGGACCCGCGGUGCAUUAGCUAGUUGGGGAGGUAACGGCCCACCAAGGCAACGAUGCGUAGCCGACCUGAGAGGGUGAUCGGCCACACUGGGACUGAGACACGGCCCAGACUCCUACGGGAGGCAGCAGUAGGGAAUCUUCCGCAAUGGACGAAAGUCUGACGGAGCAACGCCGCGUGAGUGAUGAAGGCUUUCGGGUCGUAAAACUCUGUUGUUAGGGAAGAACAAGUGCUAGUUGAAUAAGCUGGCACCUUGACGGUACCUAACCAGAAAGCCACGGCUAACUACGUGCCAGCAGCCGCAGUAA